GUGCUUUGUGCCUUAGCAUGGCUUUUAUUUAUCAUUUCAACCUUGGUGUAUCUAAUCAUCUACAUCCAAAAAGACAAUAAGGUCCACUUUGAGCAGCUAUGAAGAGUGAUCUCUAAUAAAUAAAUUACUGUAAAAUAACAUAUAGAACUGCUCCUGUACCAAAAAAUAUUUUUUUACAAGGACAGAACACAGUCACCUAAGGGUGUUCUUCUUUUGCACAGACUAAGGAUGAUGUUUUCCACUUCUCACAGACCUUCUG